rnacentral:rRNA from 1 species
UACGGAGGAUCCGAGCGUUAUCCGGAUUUAUUGGGUUUAAAGGGAGCGCAGGCGGGGGCGUAAGUCAGCGGUGAAAUCCACGGGCUCAACUCGUGAACUGCCGUUGAUACUGCAUCCCUUGAGUACGUGCGGGGCCGGCGGAAUGCGGCAAGUAGCGGUGAAAUGCAUAGAUAUGCCGCAGAACACCGAUCGCGAAGGCAGCUGGCCAGCACGAAACUGACGCUGAGGCUCGAAAGCAUGGGGAUCAAACAGGAUUAGAUACCCUGGUAGUCCAUGCCGUAAACGAUGAUAGCUGGGUGCCCGGGGCUUGCCCCUGGGUGCCUGAGGGAAACCAUUAAGCUAUCCACCUGGGGAGUACGCCGGCAACGGUG